rnacentral:rRNA from 1 species
UACGUAGGGUGCGAGCGUUAAUCGGAAUUACUGGGCGUAAAGCGUGCGCAGGCGGUUUUGUAAGCCAGGUGUGAAAUCCCCGGGCUCAACCUGGGAAUGGCAUUUGGGACUGCAAGGCUGGAGUGUGGCAGAGGAGACUGGAAUUCCUGGUGUAGCAGUGAAAUGCGUAGAUAUCAGGAGGAACACCAAUGGCGAAGGCAGCUCGCUGGGACGGUACUGACGCUGAGACGCGAAAGCGUGGGGAGCAAACAGG